CCUACGGGAGGCAGCAGUGAGGAAUAUUGGUCAAUGGCCGGAAGGCUGAACCAGCCAUGCCGCGUGAAGGUCAGUGCCCUAUGGGCGUUAAACUUCUUUUGUGCGGGAGCAAUACUGGUCACGUGUGGCCCGACGUGAGUACCGUACGAAUAAGCAUCGGCUAACUCCGUGCCAGCAGCCGCGGUAAUACGGGGGAUGCACGCGUUAUCCGGGUUUAUUGGGGUUAAAGGGUGCGUAGGCUGUGAGGUAAGUCAGCGGUGAAAUGCCCCCGCUCAACGGGGUGAAGUGCCAUUGAUACUGCCUUGCUGGAAUGCGGAUGCCGUGGGAGGAAUGUGUGGUGUAGCGGUGAAAUGCAUAGAUAUCACACAGAACACCGAUUGCGAAGGCAUCUCACGAAUCCGCGAUUGACGCUGAUGCACGAAAGCGUGGGUAUCAAACAGGAUUAGAUACCCUGGUAGUC
rnacentral:rRNA from 1 species